rnacentral:rRNA from 1 species
GAUGAACGCUGGCGGCGUGCUUAACACAUGCAAGUCGAACGGAAAGGCCCAAGCUUGCUUGGGUACUCGAGUGGCGAACGGGUGAGUAACACGUGGGUGAUCUGCCCUGCACUUCGGGAUAAGCCUGGGAAACUGGGUCUAAUACCGGAUAGGACCACAUUUUGGAUGGUGUGGUGGAAAGUUUUUCGGUGUGGGAUGAGCUCGCGGCCUAUCAGCUUGUUGGUGGGGUAAUGUCCUACCAAGGCGUCGACGGGUAGCCGGCCUGAGAGGGUGUACGGCCACAUUGGGACUGAGAUACGGCCCAGACUCCUACGGGAGGCAGCAGUGGGGAAUAUUGCACAAUGGGCGCAAGCCUGAUGCAGCGACGCCGCGUGGGGGAUGACGGCCUUCGGGUUGUAAACUCCUUUCGCUAGGGACGAAGCGUUUUUGUGACGGUACCUGGAGAAGAAGCACCGGCUAACUACGUG